UACAUAGGUCUCAAGCGUUGUUCGGAUUCAUUGGGCGUAAAGGGUGCGUAGGCGGCGGGGCAAGUCGGAUGUGAAAUCUCAGGGCUCAACCCUGAAACUGCAUUCGAUACUGCCUUGCUCGAGGACUGGAGAGGAGAUUGGAAUUCACGGUGUAGCAGUGAAAUGCGUAGAUAUCGUGAGGAAGACCAGUGGCGAAGGCGGAUCUCUGGACAGUUCCUGACGCUGAGGCACGAAGGCCAGGGGAGCAAACGGG
rnacentral:rRNA from 1 species